rnacentral:ncRNA from 2 species
ACAAUAUUCGUCAUUAUUCUUCAUAUAUCCUCGACAAUAUGGGUCGAGAGUCUCUACCGGGGCGCCGUAACAUGCCCUGACUAUGAAGGCAGUCUGACUUUGU